UGGUCAAGUUAUUAAGGGUGCAGGGCGGAUGCCUUGGCACUAGGAGCCGAUGAAGGACGUGAUAAGCUGCGAUAAGCUUCGGGGAGUUGCACGUAAACUUUGAUCCGAAGAUUUCCGAAUGAGGAAACUCACUUAGAGUAAUGUCUAAGUAUCAUUAAGUGAAUACAUAGCUUAAUGAGGGGAACUCAGGGAACUGAAACAUCUAAGUACCUGAAGGAAGAGAAAGAAAUUCGAUUCCGUAAGUAGCGGCGAGCGAACGCGGAUUAGCCCAAACCAAUAAAGUUUUCUUUAUUGGGGUUGCGGACAUAUCAUAACGAAGAGGUAUCGUAAUUGAAGAGGUUUGGAAAGACCCACCACAGAAGGUAAUAGUCCUGUAUGUUAAACGAGAAGACUUCAGAUAUGAUCCAGAGUACCACGGGACACGUGAAACCCUGUGGGAAGCAGGAGGGACCACCCUCCAAGGCUAAAUACUACCUAGUGACCGAUAGCGUAUAGUACCGUGAGGGAAAGGUGAAAAGAACCCCGGGAGGGGAGUGAAAUAGAACCUGAAACCCUGCACUUACAAGCUGUGGAAGCACAUUUCUUGUGUGACCGCGUACUUUUUGUAGAACGGGCCAACGAGUUACGUUAAGUAGCAAGGUUAAGCACUUAAGGUGCGGAGCCGUAGCGAAAGCGAGUUUUAACUGAGCGUUCAGUUACUUGACGUAGACCCGAAACCGGGCGACCUACCCAUGAGCAGGAUGAAGCGAAAGUAAAAUUUCGUGGAGGUCCGAACCCACGAGCGUUGAAAAGCUCGGGGAUGACUUGUGGGUAGCGGUGAAAUUCCAAUCGAGCCCGGAGAUAGCUGGUUCUCCCCGAAAUAGCUUUAGGGCUAGCCUCAAGGUGAGAGAUACGGAGGUAGAGCACUGAAUGUCCUAGGGGGUAUUGCACCUACCGAAGACUAUCAAACUCCGAAUGCCGUCAUCUUAUACUUGGGAGUCAGACUGUGGGUGAUAAGAUUCAUAGUCGAAAGGGCAACAGCCCAGAUCGUCAGCUAAGGUCCCUAAAUGUAAGUUAAGUGGUAAAGGAUGUGGGAUUGCACAGACAACCAGGAUGUUGGCUUAGAAGCAGCCACUCAUUCAAAGAGUGCGUAAUAGCUCACUGGUCGAGUGAUCCUGCGCCGAAGAUUUCCGGGGCUAAAACUUACUACCGAAGCUACGGCAUCAGUAAUGAUGGGUAGGGGAGCUUCCCAUACGGGUUGAAGCAUGACCGUAAGGACAUGUGGACAGUAUGGGAGUGAGAAUGUUGGCAUGAGUAGCGAGAUGUGGGUGAGAAUCCCACAGGCCGUAAACCCAAGGUUUCCAGGGGAAGGUUCGUCCGCCCUGGGUUAGUCGGGACCUAAGCUGAGGCCGAAAGGCGUAGGUGAUGGACAACAGGUUGAUAUUCCUGUACUACCGAUAACCGUUUGAGAGAAGGGAUGACACAGUAGGAUAAGCUAAGCACACUGUUGGUUAUGUGUGCCCAAGCAUUGAGGCAGUCAAAGUAGGCAAAUCCGCUUUGAUAAUGCUGGGAUGUGAUGGGGAGCGAAAUUUAGUAGCGAAGUAGCUGAUUUCACACUGUCAAGAAAAGUCUCUAUCGAGGUUAAAGGUACCCGUACCGCAAACCGACACAGGUGGGUGAGGAGAGUAUCCUAAGGCCAGCGAGAGAACUGUUGUUAAGGAACUCGGCAAAAUGACCCCGUAACUUAGGGAUAAGGGGUGCCACCAUCAGGUGGCCGCAGAGAAUAGGCCCAAGCGACUGUUUACCAAAAACAUAGGUUUCUGCUAAGUCGCAAGACGAUGUAUAGGAGCUGACGCCUGCCCGGUGCUGGAAGGUUAAGGGGAUCUGUUAGAGCAAUCGAAGCAGUGAACUUAAGCCCCAGUAAACGGCGGCCGUAACUAUAACGGUCCUAAGGUAGCGAAAUUCCUUGUCGGGUAAGUUCCGACCCGCACGAAAGGCGUAACGAUUUGGGCACUGUCUCAACAACAGACUCGGUGAAAUUGUAAUUCCGGUGAAGAUGCCGGAUACCUGCGACAGGACGGAAAGACCCCAUGGAGCUUUACUGUAGCUUGACAUUGGGUCUUGGUACUACAUGUACAGGAUAGGUGGGAGGCUUUGAAACCAGGACGCCAGUUUUGGCGGAGCCAUCCUUGGGAUACCACCCUUGUAGUACUGGGACUCUAACCAUAGGCCAUGAAUCUGGUCUUGGGACACUGUCAGGUGGGCAGUUUGACUGGGGCGGUCGCCUCCCAAAAGGUAACGGAGGCGCUCAAAGGUUCUCUCAGUACGGUCGGAAAUCGUACGUAGAGUGUAAAGGCAAAAGAGAGCUUGAUUGCAAGACAUACAGGUCGAGCAAGGAUGAAAAUCGGACUUAGUGAUCCGGUGGUUCUGCGUGGAAGGGCCAUCGCUCAACGGAUAAAAGCUACCCUGGGGAUAACAGGCUUAUCUCCCCCAAGAGUCCACAUCGACGGGGAGGUUUGGCACCUCGAUGUCGGCUCAUCACAUCCUGGGGCUGUAGUAGGUCCCAAGGGUUGGGCUGUUCGCCCAUUAAAGUGGUACGCGAGCUGGGUUCAGAACGUCGUGAGACAGUUCGGUCCCUAUCCGUCGCAGGCGUAGGAAAUUUGAGAAGACCUGUCCUUAGUACGAGAGGACCGGGAUGGACGUAUCUCUGGUGUACCAGUUGUCCUGCCAAGGGCAUGGCUGGGUAGCUAUGUACGGAAUGGAUAAGCGCUGAAAGCAUCUAAGCGCGAAGCCAACUUCAAGAUAAGAUUUCCCACCGCAAGGGUAAGACCCCAGAAAGACUAUCUGGUUGAUAGGUCGAAGGUGUAAGUGCAGCAAUGUAUUUAGCUUAUCGAUACUAAUAGGUCGAGGACUUGACCAAU
rnacentral:rRNA from 1 species